rnacentral:rRNA from 1 species
GGGAAUAUUGGACAAUGGGGGCAACCCUGAUCCAGCCAUGCCGCGUGAGUGAUGAAGGCCUUCGGGUUGUAAAGCUCUUUUGGCGGGGACGAUGAUGACGGUACCCGCAGAAUAAGCCCCGGCUAACUUCGUGCCAGCAGCCGCGGUAAUACGAAGGGGGCAAGCGUUGUUCGGAAUUACUGGGCGUAAAGGGCGCGUAGGCGGCUCGUGCAAGUCAGGUGUGAAAGCCCUGGGCUCAACCCGGGAACUGCACUUGAAACUGCCGGGCUUGAAUCCGGGAGAGGUUGGUGGAAUUCCCAGUGUAGAGGUGAAAUUCGUAGAUAUUGGGAAGAACACCGGAGGCGAAGGCGGCCAACUGGUCCGGUAUUGACGCUGAGGCGCGAGAGCGUGGGGAGCAAA